GUGAGGAAUUUUCCGCAAUGGGCGAAAGCCUGACGGAGCAAUGCCGCGUGAAGGAUGAAGGCCUAUGGGUUGUAAACUUCUUUUCUCAGAAAAGAAUUAUGACGGUAUCUGAGGAAUGAGCAUCGGCUAACUCUGUGCCAGCAGCCGCGGUAAGACAGAGGAUGCAAGCGUUAUCCGGAAUGAUUGGGCGUAAAGCGUCUGUAGGUUGUUUAAAAAGUAUUCUGUCAAAGAUUAGGGCUUAACCCUAGAUAGGCAGAAUAAACUUUUAAGCUAGAGUUUGGUAGAGGCAGAGGGAAUUCCCGGUGGAGCGGUGAAAUGCGUAGAUAUCGGGAGGAACACCAAAGGCGAAGGCACUCUGCUGGGCCAAUACUAACACUGAGAGACGAAAGCGAGGGGAGCAAAUGGGAUUAGAUACCCGUGUAGUCC
rnacentral:rRNA from 1 species